rnacentral:lncRNA from 1 species
UAGCUUAGAACUGGUUACUUUCAUUUCAAGUGUGCCAGAUAAAAUGAAGCUAUAUUUCAUGUCUCUUAGCUCAAACUUUAUAAAAUAAUGUAGACAUCUCCAAUAACUUCUAUAAAUGCUUCUGAAUAUUUAAAAAUUCUGACUUUUUAAUACUUGGUCACUUUAAAUGACACCAUAUAAAGCUGCAAAAAGAACUUAUUGACUUAAUCCAUUCAAAAUCUUUUAGAUUUAAAUACUGGGAUCCAAAUCGAUUGGCUUUCUUGCAAAUAACCUGAGUUAGCUACAUGAGAUUCAGUAGGACUACAUUAAACUUUUGUUAAGGAUUUAUGCUCCCAAAGCGUAGUAAAGACAAAGAGUUAGACAAAUUUACAUGCAUACCCAGAGGUAACUGAUUUCAAGGGUGCAAGUAUGGGACAUAGAGAAUUCCUAUUUGUUUCUCUGCCAAUUUCUCGCUAUGUUUCUUCAUUCAAGCCAUAAUUACAUUGCUAAAGAUUCCACUGUGGCAAGUGAAAAGAUGAAUGGAAUUUAGGUCUCUUUUGUGAGCUCUGAGAGGAAAGAGAAAGGACACAGUAAAGCUUUUAUUGACCCAAGUCCAAAUCCAGUGUGUCUAACUAGGAAAUUGUUUAUUCAGAUGAAAGCCAAAAGGCAUCUCAGCCUAAUGUGGCUGAGACAGCAAAAUCAAUUCUGAGCACAAGAGCUCUGUUGAGUAAAUGUUUAAAGGAGAAAAAAAAGGGCCUGCACAAAUUAAUAAAUGAUACCAAGCAUAAGAGAGAUGUAGUCUGUGCCUCAUAUUACUUUUAUGAUAUACUCUUUUAUCUGUGUUGUUUUGCUGGUGAAAUAAAAUUGCCUAUUUUCUUCAUCUAUGAAAAAGAAAAUAUGACAUUACUAAAAGUUAUUUUUACUAUAAAAAUUGAUUAAUGAGUUGACAUAAUUUUUCUUUCCAAAGAAAGGAUGGAUUUACUCUCCCUAUUAACUAUAUUUGAUCCCACUCCUCCAACAUAAAGACUUCUUGUGCAUAAUUAAGGAUAGGCCUUCACCUUUGUUUUAUUUUUUACUGGCUGAUUUUUGCUUACUGCUAAUUUUUUAAAAAAGCAUAAAGCAAUAUUUAAAUGGGUUUCUAUGACUCAUUCUAGGAAGAAAGAAUUUUUAAAAGACAGAUGUCAUGUUUCUUAUGAAAGAAACAUGCUAAUAAACAAAUUUCUUCUUAGAUUUUUGUGGACAAAAAAUCAGAGUUUGUUAGUGAUUGUCUAACAGCCAUUAAUAAAAUUUUGUUGGCUCCAGACACAUGCAAUGUAAUUUCUUUUCAUCGUACAUCUAUCUGUUAUAUGUGUUUUGAUAGAUAAGAUCUAAAUUAGUAACUGUCAAUCAAUAUGUCUCUGAAAAUAUCUUUAACAAUCACUUCCUCACACUGGGUUUUUACCAAAAAUGUUAUCUUACCUGAUUUAUGUGUUCGUAGUGACAUACUAUAAAGCUCUAUGUUCUCCAAAACUUUUCACUGAAUUUAUACUAGUGAAUGAGGUAAUCACUAGAAAGCAUGUUUUUUUUCUAAAACAGCAUAUUACAUUUAAUAUGUUCAGCUUGGUGAGUAUUUCACGUUUCAGCAUAGGUGACCGGUAUCACUUAAAUAUUUGCCAAAUGAUGAGUUUACAUGUACUUAUAUUGGAGGGAUUCUGUUUUAUAGAUGUGAAUAUCUUUUUAACUUUAACAGAGACUUAGAAGCUAGACUCUGCAAUGUUGUCCCAGAAAAACCGAUUUAAUGGAAAUAUAAGCCUUAUAUUGUAUGCCAUGCUCAUUUAUCUAUUUGCGCACAAGGUAUAAAAGAAGCGAUUAUCUUGCCACCAACUUAACAUUUGUCUCUAAAAUCACCAACACAACUGAACUGCAUCUGGGAUAUUUGGAAUUGUCCAUCAGGUGAUCAUUACUGGGGUUAAAUUAUUAAAUUGUUCCUAGUUGGUUAAAGACUCCAUGGCCAGAUAUAAUUGCAUUGUGCGUUAUGAGCUAUUUGUGUCAUUAUAGGCUGUAAUUUUGCAUUAGUGUGUUAGGAAAUAAGAAGUGCACAUAUGAAUUCAUCUUAUAGGUCAUAUUGGCAUCUUUAUUUCAAAAUAAGUAUGUGCUACUUGGUCUUUUCCCACUUCACUUUUAUGCUCCAGUUAUGAAUUUCUACAUGACGUCGACGUACCAUGUUUUUCUUUUCUGCUUUUGCUCUUACUUCUUUGGGAACAUUCCUUUAGACAUUCUCCCGGGUACUUCCUUCUUGGUUCAGAUGUCAUGUUACCUGGGAAGUGCCAAGAUUCUAUACCGGAGCCAGGACUAAGUGCUCUGAUAACAGAGUAUUUCCACUGUUGCAGGUACUAGAUCAUAUUCUUAUGUAUUACUUAUUUAUUUCUUUAUAUUUUUGACAAAUGCAGUUGUAUCUAUUUAAGAUGUACAUUGUGAUAAUUACCGAGAUCCAGAUAAUGAAUACUUCUGUCAUAUUUAGAUUAUUCACCAGUAUUUUCAUGUCAUCUAUCAACUCCUUAAAGACUGAUCAUUUUAAUCAAUUUGUUCCUCAAUGCUUCUAACAAGGCUUACCUAUAACAGGUUCUCAAGGACGAUUCUGUCACUUUUGUUUUGUUUUUUGUUCUUUUUUCUUUAAUAUCUUUAUCAUAAAAUGAAAUACACAGAUAAAGCCAUACAAAAUAAAUAUAUGGCUUUGUGAAUUAAGUUGGACACACUUGUAAUCGCUACCCAAGUUAUAACAUUACAAUGAUACCAGCUACCCUAGAAAUCCUCCAUUUGCUCCAUCCCAAUUACCCCUCCUUUCUCUCUCUAAAACUAAUCUCUUCUGUGCUUUUCUUUAUAUUUUAUCACACAGGUGUAUAUCUGUAGACUCUGUAACUGACUCCUGCCACUUAUUUUUUAAUUCGAUGUCUCCUUUAAUUUACAGGUUUCAUGUUCAUUUAUUUUCCUUCUAGUUAUCGCCUUUCAACAGGCAUGCCCCUAUGGACAUAUACCUUAGUAAGCAAAUAAUUCCUCAGUUUCGAUUAGAAAUAGGUCCUGCUUCUGUGGUAGCAUCAUGCAGCCUCAACACAAGGCACACGACUUGGUGUGAAGCACCAGGCCAGAUUUUUGCCCCUGCUUACUCUUAAUCUAGGUCUUGUGCUUUAAAGAAACUACACAGCCAUACGUAAAGUAACCAUAUGCAGUAGUCCUGGUAAUUACUUCCAGCGAAGAUAUUGUAUAUAAUUUAUGCUUCAAUGCUGUAUUUUCUGUGACAGACCCAUAAUGAUAAUAGAUGAACUAUGGAAAGGAAACUGAAAACCUCUUAGAUGGGAUCAAAUAGAACAUAAAAAUCUCCAUGGCCAUAAGUGAAAUAGAAAUAUAUAUGAGCGAGAUGAAUUCAUGGGUAUGCUGAGCUACCAGCAUCCUGCGGUAGUAAGGAAGUUGCUCCUGCAGGGUCAUGUGAAGUAAGUGUUCUGUGUGAGAUGGUGGCUGUACGCCAAGUUCACUCCAUGAAUAUAGCGGUGUGAUUGGCACUGCUCCCACCUCCCACCUGGGAAAGUAACUGGGAAAAAAAAUUCUAGUUGCUUUCUGUUUUUAUGCGUUAGAGGAAAUGGUGAGCCUGGGGACAGGAGAGGAAAUAAGACAGGAUCACCAGCAGGAUCUGAAACUUAUUUUCCUUCAGCUUAGUGACUUAGUAUCUGCAAUACCUAUAAUGUCACUGAGUUGCAGAAAAGACCACAAUUUCAUUUUCAGAUCUUGUCCUGCACCGGGGAUUUAAGGAUGGAGUUCUAUGACCUUGCUGGAGUCUCCUUCUGCUUCCUCCAGAAGUACAGCAGACUCACAGCUGAAGACCAUUUACUCUUUUACAGCUUUAUUUUCAGAAUAGUUGGAAAAUUCUGAAUGUGGAUGAAAUAUUAAGGAUGAUAAUGACCUAUGUGUAUUUUGUCUAAUUUGGAUGUUUUCAGACAUUAUUUCUUCAAGUAUUGUUUUUGCAAUUUUUUCUCUCACUGCUCCUUCUGAGACGCACAUGAUGUGUGUAUUGGUCUGCUUUGUGAGUGUCACUUCCAGGUAGAAGCCUCUUAGAUCCAACAUACAAUGGAAAAGGAAAAACUUCACAGAGCAUUAAGCCAAGGGGUAUGGAGAAUAGUGGACAAAGAAGCCACAUCCAGGGAGCAGAACUGGGCUAUCCAGGAACAUUCUCCCUCUUCAGGGUAGAUGAAUCUUGAAGUGUCUACCUAGUAUAUUUCAGAAUUUUACAUACUUCAAUCUGCUGUUCAUCCCCAUCUCUCCUUUUUUACAACAAGGUGGGUUGGGGUUUUUUGUUUGUUUGUUUUUAGGUUACCUUAUCUUUAUUUAUCCGUUUUAUACUGGGUGUGUGUAGGCAAAAAAAACCCCAUCUUUUUUGUUCAUAGCUUUCAAUUUAGGAGGAGCACUUCUGAAUGUAAUGUGGACAGUCAUGAAUCAUUUCAUAGUGGAAAGACUGCCAUGCAUCAUCCAGAGAUCCUGCUCCUCAAACUUGAUGAUACAGUUGGAUGGGACUUGUGUGUCUCCACUGAGUGUAUUUUGAAUACAGGAAGAAGAGUAUCCCAAAUAUUGGUGACCAGAAGGUGAGACAGAGGUAAUCGCUGGAAUUAGGAUUAUAUUCCAGGUCUUCUCCUUUAGUGUAUAUGUUAGGUCUGGACUUCCUUUUCUAUACGAGUAGAAAUGAUAUGUAACCCUUAGGACCUGCUGCAUUGUUCACUACUGUCUUGUCCCUCAACCACAGUGGUGAUGAUAGGAAGUACUGAUGUGGAGCCCCCAUCAGACUAGAUCUUUAAAUGAUAUGUAUGUUUAGUGUAUGCAAGAAACAACCUUUUGUGAUGUUUACACAUUGAUGGUUGAUAUAUUUUUUUAACUGCAUCUUAAACUAGGUUAUACUGGCAUUGAUACUACGUAAAUGUGAAACCUAACCUCAAAGGGAUACAUUCAAACAAAGCCCUUAGAAAGAGAUAAAUUAUGGUAGAGCUAGUAGUGAACAGUGAAUCCAUCAAAAAAUAGAAUUAAGGGAGUUCCCAUCGUGGGUCAGCAGAAACGAACCUGACUAGCAUCCUUGAGGACGCAGGUUCAGUCCCUGGACUUACUCAGUGGAUUAGGGAUCUGAUGUUGCCGUGAGCUGUGGUGUAGGUUGCAGAUGUGGCUCAGAUCCCGCAUUGCUGUGGCUGUGGCGUAGGCCAGCAGCUGCAGCUCUGAUUUGACUCCUAGCCUGGGAAACUCCAUAUGAAAUUAUAGCUUAAAAAAGAGAAAAACAAGUAUUUGAAACUUUGAUAAUAUAAAAAUAAGAACAUAACUAACAAAUGUAAUUAAAGGAAUAGUAAGAGUGCUAACAUCUUAAUAUUUUAUAGCAGGAAGUAAAAUAAUGUAUACAUUAAAAUGUAAUUAAAAUGACUUUAACUUCAUAAUAUUUAAGAACAUAUCUCAUGCUGAAAGAACAUUCAUCUAAAGUUUGGAAAUUGCUUUGUUUUAAAUUCAGUUUCUCUUUCUUCUAUAAAUUUAAAUACAGUAAAAUUUAAAUUUUCGCUAUCAUGACAAAAUAAUAUAAUCUAGGUUUUAUAAUACUAUGCCUAUCCAUCCAUCCAUACCUCUGCUAUUCAUCUAUCCUUUCAUUUGUAUAUUAUUCUAUUUAUACAGUCAUGUGGAGAUAUGCUUGAAAUGCUAUUUUUAAGACAGUUACAGUAAUUUAUAAGUGAUAGGAUUUGUAGAGAUAUUUUCCCAUAUGUUUUCUACUUUUCUGUAUUGAAUGCCUUUUUUCUAUCUUUUUUUUUUAAACCAUAAA